rnacentral:rRNA from 1 species
UGGGGAAUAUUGGACAAUGGGGGGAACCCUGAUCCAGCCAUGCCGCGUGUGUGAAGAAGGCCUUAUGGUUGUAAAGCACUUUAAGCGAGGAGGAGGGUACUGGUAUUAAUACUACCAGGUAUUGGACGUUACUCGCAGAAUAAGCACCGGCUAACUCUGUGCCAGCAGCCGCGGUAAUACAGAGGGUGCGAGCGUUAAUCGGAUUUACUGGGCGUAAAGCGUGCGUAGGCGGCUAAUUGAGUCGGAUGUGAAAUCCCCGAGCUUAACUUGGGAAUUGCAUUCGAUACUGGUUAGCUAGAGUGUGGGAGAGGAUGGUAGAAUUCCAGGUGUAGCGGUGAAAUGCGUAGAGAUCUGGGGGAAUACCGAUGGCGAAGGCAGCCAUCUGGCCUAACACUGACGCUGAGGUACGAAAGCAUGGGGAGCAAACAGG